AGAGUUUGAUCCUGGCUCAGAGUGAACGCUGGCGGUAUGCUUAACACAUGCAAGUCGAACGAGAACGGCCCUAGCUUGCUAGGGUGUCAGCUAAGUGGCGGACGGGUGAGUAAUGCAUAGCUAACCUGCCCCUAGGAUCGGAAUAACAGUUGGAAACGACUGCUAAUACCGGAUAUACUCUUCGGAGUGAAACGCUUUUGUGCCUAGGGAUGGGGCUAUGUCCUAUCAGUUAGUUGGUGAGGUAAUGGCUCACCAAGGCAAUGACGGGUAACUGGUCUGAGAGGAUGAACAGUCACACUGGAACUGAGACACGGUCCAGACUCCUACGGGAGGCAGCAGUGGGGAAUAUUGGGCAAUGGACGAAAGUCUGACCCAGCAAUACCGCGUGGAGGAUGACGCAUUUCGGUGUGUAAACUCCUUUUCUGUCAGAAGAUAAUGACGGUAUGACAGGAAUAAGCACCGGCUAACUCCGUGCCAGCAGCCGCGGUAAUACGGAGGGUGCAAGCGUUACUCGGAAUCACUGGGCGUAAAGAGUGUGUAGGCGGACUAUUAAGUCAGAUGUGAAAUGCUGUAGCUUAACUAUAGAAUUGCAUUUGAAACUGGUAGUCUAGAAUAUAUAAGAGGCAGGUGGAAUUAGCAGUGUAGGGGUAAAAUCCGUAGAUAUUGCUAGGAAUGCCAAUGGUGAAGACGACCUGCUGGGAUAAUAUUGACGCUGAGACACGAAAGCGUGGGGAGCAAACAGGAUUAGAUACCCUGGUAGUCCACGCCCUAAACGAUGAAUGCUAGUUGUCAGAGUGCUCGACACUUUGGUAAUGCAGUUAACACAUUAAGCAUUCCGCCUGGGGAGUACGGUCGCAAGGUUAAAACUCAAAGGAAUAGACGGGGACCCGCACAAGCGGUGGAGCAUGUGGUUUAAUUCGAAAAUACGCGAAGAACCUUACCUGGCCUUGACAUUGAUAGAACUUAGUAGAGAUACUGAGGUGCCUUUUCGGAGGAGCUUGAAAACAGGUGCUGCACGGCUGUCGUCAGCUCGUGUCGUGAGAUGUUGGGUUAAGCCCGCAACGAGCGCAACCCUCGUCCUUAGUUGCCAGCAUUUAGGUGGGAACUCUAAGGAGACUGCCAUCGCAAGGUGGAGGAAGGUGAGGACGACGUCAAGUCAUCAUGGCCCUUAUGGCCAGGGCAACACACGUGCUACAAUGGUAUAGAUAAUGAGAUGCAAUACUGCGAGGUGGAGCAAAUCUAUAAACUAUAUCCCAGUUCGGAUUGUUCUCUGCAACUCGAGAACAUGAAGUUGGAAUCGCUAGUAAUCGCAAAUCAGCUAUGUUGCGGUGAAUACGUUCCCGGGUCUUGUACUCACCGCCCGUCACACCAUGGGAGUUGAAUUCACCUUAAGCCGGGAAGCUAAGAUAGCUACCGUCCACGGUGGAUUUAGCGACUGGGGUGAAGUCGUAACAAGGUA
rnacentral:rRNA from 1 species